rnacentral:rRNA from 1 species
CCGAGUCUUAACCGGGCGUUAAGUUGCAGGGUAUAGACCCGAAACCCGGUGAUCUAGCCAUGGGCAGGUUGAAGGUUGGGUAACACUAACUGGAGGACCGAACCGACUAAUGUUGAAAAAUUAGCGGAUGACCUGUGGCUGGGGGUGAAAGGCCAAUCAAACCGGGAGAUAGCUGGUUCUCCCCGAAAGCUAUUUAGGUAGCGCCUCGUGAAUUCAUCUCCGGGGGUAGAGCACUGUUUCGGCUAGGGGGCCAUCCCGGCUUACCAACCCGAUGCAAACUGCGAAUACCGGAGAAUGUUAUCACGGGAGACACACGGCGGGUGCUAACGUCCGUCGUGAAGAGGGAAACAACCCAGACCGCCAGCUAAGGUCCCAAAGUCAUGGUUAAGUGGGAAACGAUGUGGGAAGGCCCAGACAGCCAGGAUGUUGGCUUAGAAGCAGCCAUCAUUUAAAGAAAGCGUAAUAGCUCACUGGUCGAGUCGGCCUGCGCGGAAGAUGUAACGGGGCUAAACCAUGCACCGAAGCUGCGGCAGCGACGCUUAUGCGUUGUUGGGUAGGGGAGCGUUCUGUAAGCCUGUGAAGGUGGCCUGUGAGGGUUGCUGGAGGUAUCAGAAGUGCGAAUGCUGACAUAAGUAACGAUAAAGCGGGUGAAAAGCCCGCUCGCCGGAAGACCAAGGGUUCCUGUCCAACGUUAAUCGGGGCAGGGUGAGUCGACCCCUAAGGCGAGGCCGAAAGGCGUAGUCGAUGGGAAACAGGUUAAUAUUCCUGUACUUGGUGUUACUGCGAAGGGGGGACGGAGAAGGCUAUGUUGGCCGGGCGACGGUUGUCCCGGUUUAAGCGUGUAGGUGUGUGUUCCAGGUAAAUCCGGUUCACUUUAACACUGAGGCGUGA